rnacentral:rRNA from 1 species
GUUUGAUCAUGGCUCAGGAUGAACGCUGGCGGCGUGCCUAACACAUGCAAGUCGAACGGGAGGCUUUAUUCGGAAAGCCGAGAGUGGCGCACGGGUGAGGAACACGUAGCUCAUCUGCCCCCGAGAGCGGGAUAACGCGCCGAAAGGUGUGCUAAAACCGCAUAAGCUCACGGACUGUAGAGGUCUGCGAGAAAAACCUUGGUGCUUGGGGAUGAGGCUGCGGCCCAUCAGCUCGUUGGUGAGGUAAUGGCUCACCAAGGCAACGACGGGUAGGGGGCCUGAGAGGGUGACCCCCCACACUGGGACUGAGACACGGCCCAGACUCCUACGGGAGGCAGCAGUGAGGAAUAUUGCUCAAUGGACGCAAGUCUGAAGCAGCGACGCCGCGUGGGUGAAGAAGGUCUUCGGAUCGUAAAGCCCUUUUCUGGGAGACGAGAUAGGACGGUAACCCAGGAAUAAGUGUCGGCUAACUACGUGCCAGCAGCCGCGGUAAAACGUAGGACGCAAGCGUUAUCCGGAAUUACUGGGCGUAAAGCGCGUGCAGGCGGGUCAACAAGUCAUGCGUGAAAGCUCCUGGCUAAACUGGGAGAGGUCGGAUGAGACUGUUGAUCUGGAGUGUGUCAGAGGCGUGUGGAAUUCCGCGUGUAGUGGUGAAAUGCGUAGAGAUGCGGAGGAACACCAGUGGCGAAGGCGGCACGCUGGGGCACAACUGACGCUGAGGCGCGAAAGCAUGGGGAGCGAACGGGAUUAGAAACCCCGGUAGUCCAUGCCGUAAACGAUGUACACUAGACGUUCGGGCUACAUUGUAGCUUGAGUGUCGCAGCAAACGCGAUAAGUGUACCGCCUGGGGAGUACGGUCGCAAGGCUAAACUCAAAGGAA